ensembl:lncRNA
UAAUAAUGUGUUGUAUUGUAGGUGAUGUAUUGGUGUAAUAAUGUGUUGUAUUGUAGAUAUGUAGUGGUGUAAUAAUGUGUUGUAUUCUAGGUGAUGUGGUGGUGUAAUAAUGUGUUGUAUUGUAGGUGAUGUAUUGGUGUAAUAAUGUGUUGUAUUGUAGAUAUGUAGUGGUGUAAUAAUGUGUUGUAUUCUAGGUGAUGUAGUGGUGUAAUAAUGUGAUGUAGUGGUGUAAUAAUGUGUUGUAUUGUAGGUGAUGUAGUGGUGUUGUAUUGUAGGUGAUGUAGUGGUGUAAUAAUGUGUUGUAUUGUAUGUGAUGUAGUGGUGUAAUAAUGUGUUGUAUUGUAGGUGAUGUAGUGGUGUAAUAAUGUGAUGUAUUGUAUGUGAUGUAGUGGUGUAAUAAUGUGUUGUAUUGUAGGUGAUGUAGUGGUGUAAUAAUGUGUUGUAUAUGUGAUGUAGUGGUGUAAUAAUGUGCCUUAAGGCUCAGAACAUUCUUAGUCAAAGGUCAGGAAUUAACAGUGACCCAUUAAGCCAUGCAGAGACAUUCUCCAUCAGCAUGCCAGCUUUCCAUGUCAAAUUUGUCCUCAUUCAGUGCUGCCAGACAAAAAUGCAUCCAGUUACACGUUUUUUGAUGUUGUGGCUAUUGUAAUCGACUCUAAGGCAAGUGGGCUCAGACACUGAAAACGGUAUGUUUUUCCAGGCAAAGGUUCCUCUCUGGAUUGUAUAUAUACAGCUCUUGCGAUUAUUUUAGGGGAUGUGACAAAUGUAAAAAUGUCCUUAAGGUUUAACCAGACUUUUUUCUCUCUCAUUUAAUCAUUUGUAAUAAAAUCAUAGGAUAACGUGAAUUCAAAAUUCAGAUACGAUCGCCUAUGACCACUAGGGGGCAAUUCAUUUCAAUGUACCGUUGUCUCGACCACCUACCAGCUAGAUGGCGCUCACCUUACUGCUGUCCCCGACCCACUCAGCAACAAUGGUAUUAAUGCCGAUUUAGGUUCUCUGUUGUGUUCCUUUCCUCCAUGUUCUCAGUGGUCAGUACUUCUCAUCAAGGUAUCAAGGUCGUUGCAGUGAUG